CUUCUUCCUAUUUUUUCUAAGAAAAACCGUCCACCAUGGGAGAGGAAAAGUCGUGAGGUUCUCAAAUAAGUCUCACCCCGAUUUUCUGUCGAACCGUCGAUUUAAUCGUGUAAACGUUAUGAAAUCAACUACACCCAAAUGUAGCAAAUGAAAGGAAAAAGGAUCGGCGAAAGAAGAAAUGUCGAAUGGAAAGGUUUGGAAAUAUCGUCAUCCAGGUUAAUUGGAUCGGGGAUUCCUUUGGAUAUUUCUUUCGUUUCUUCGCCAGCACUGCAUCCUCGGUGGGUCACUGAUCACUGCUUGCGGUGUUUGUGUCCAUUUCUGUUAGAUGUGGCAUGUAUAGUAUUUGAAUAUUUGUAAUCGCUUCCGCUGUGUUUGUAAAUAGUGUUGGAACUUUUGCUGAUAGGUUAAUGAAUUAAGUUUGGUUUUUAA